rnacentral:rRNA from 1 species
CAGCAGCCGCGGUAAAACAGAGGGUGCGAGCGUUAAUCGGAUUUACUGGGCGUAAAGCGUGCGUAGGCGGCUAAUUGAGUCGGAUGUGAAAUCCCCGAGCUUAACUUGGGAAUUGCGUUCGAUACUGGUUAGCUAGAGUGUGGGAGAGGAUGGUAGAAUUCCAGGUGUAGCGGUGAAAUGCGUAGAGAUCUGGAGGAAUACCGAUGGCGAAGGCAGCCAUCUGGCCUAACACUGACGCUGAGGUACGAAAGCAUGGGGAGCAAACAGGAUUAGAUACCCGCGUAGUCCCUGUCUCUUAUAA